CCCACCUGCCUGUAGCCUGGGAGUGUGUCGUCUGAACUGGAGCCUGAAGCACGCUGCACGGUAGCAACCAACAUUGCUAUCCAUGUUGAAUAUUGCUGCUGCAGCAGCCAGGAAUGCUGGGGAUAGAGGUCGGUGAAGACCUUGCUUGCCUGUCGAAUAAACCAAGUAAUGAGAAAAUCAAAUAAGCUGUCCAGGGACUGGUUGUGGUGUAUGAAACACUUCUUUUCAAUUUCAAAAGCAGUUGUGUUGGGUAUUUGAGAAUAGUGGCAGCACGACAUGAGGGUAUGACACUCUGGCAAUUGGUUAUACUCCCUUCUCUAUUUUGUAUUGUUGGAUAUAUUGACGUAAGUAUGAUACGUUAAUAAUGACUUAGAUCUAUUGGUAAGUUCUUGGUUGGCCUUUCCUUUCUCACUCCAUCUG